rnacentral:rRNA from 1 species
UAAGGAAUAUUGGUCAAUGGACGGAAGUCUGAACCAGCCAUGCCGCGUGCAGGAAGACGGCCCUACGGGUUGUAAACUGCUUUUGUACUGGAAUAAACCUGGUUAUGUAUAACCAGCUGAAUGUACAGUAAGAAUAAGGAUCGGCUAACUCCGUGCCAGCAGCCGCGGUAAUACGGAGGAUCCGAGCGUUAUCCGGAUUUAUUGGGUUUAAAGGGUGCGUAGGCGGCCUAUUAAGUCAGGGGUGAAAGACGGUAGCUUAACUAUCGCAGUGCCUUUGAUACUGAUAGGCUUGAAUGUACUUGAGGUAGGCGGAAUGUGACAAGUAGCGGUGAAAUGCAUAGAUAUGUCACAGAACACCAAUUGCGAAGGCAGCUUACUAAAGUAUGAUUGACGCUGAGGCACGAAAGCGUGGGGAUCAAACAG